UCCUCGUUGACCGAGGCAGUCUCGCAUGAGAAGUACAACAUACGACGAGGGUUGCGUUCGUUGCGGGACUUAACCCAACAUCUCACGACACGAACUGACGACGACCAUGCAGCACCUGUCACCGGUCCAGCAAACUGACUCCCGCCUUUCGGCGGGAUACGACCGGGAUGUCAAACCUGGGUAAGGUUCUUCGCUUAGCGUCGAAUUAAACCACACGCUCCACCGCUUGUGCGGGUCCCCGUCAAUUCCUUUGAGUUUUAAGCUUGCGCUCGUACUCCCCAGGCGGGGUGCUUAACGCGUUAGCUUCGAUACCCGGAGGAUCUAUGCUCCAGAUACCUAGCACCCAUCGUUUACGGCGUGGACUAC
rnacentral:misc_RNA from 1 species